AAAUGACGUGAAAUGCUUGAAUGAAUUGGAAUAAUUUCAAUUCGAUGGAUUAGUAAUUCUAGUUGUUGUUAUUGUUAUUGUGAUUAUGAUUGUGAUGAUGUGUAUUUUAUGUUUUAUUUAUUUAUGUGUGUUGUUUGUGACUUGUGUGUGUUUGUGCCUUUGUUUUUGUAUGUUGUGUGUGCUUAUAUGUCUCUGCGUGUCUCUAUGUGUGUGCAUAUCAAUGCCUUGUAUCUAUGUUUUGUGUAUGUGCGCUGUCUUCGUCUCUAUGUUUAUGCAUUUGCUCAGUUUUUAUGUUUGUCUAUGUGUUACUUUGCAAGUGAUGUGUUUGUGCCGGUGUCUCUCCAUGUGUAUGCCCUGCCUUUAUCUUUGUAUCUACGUUUGUCUUUACUUGUGUAUGUGUAAUUUAUAUGUGUUUGGAUGUCUCUUUGUUUGUGUCUAGUUUAUGUUUUUAUCUGUAUGUGUAUGUAUCUCUCUCACUCCCUCUGUGUGGGUGUGUUUGUGACUUUGUUGGUCUGUGUUAUGUCUAUAUUUGUUUGUUUAUGUUUGUAUGUGCUAUUUAUCUGUCUUUGUGUAUGUGUGCAUUGAUAUAUUUAACUUUAAAAAUGUAUUGAUGUUUAGGAAACUUACCAUUGCUAUGAGAUUACAAGUAAAUGAAAUUCAGGACCUCUUUUUUCCUUCUCAAUUUCAUUCAGUAUAUAUGGCCACACGAGCAUGAAAAGCUUUCACAAGUUGAGCUGUUGGUUGUUGAAGAAACUGCUGCUAUUCCACUGCUGGUGGUUACCUCAUAGUGAGUGUGAUCUAUACUAUGUUAAUCGGGAUAUUCUUUUUUCCUAUCACAAAGAUUGUGAAUUGUUUUUGCAGCGAAUUAUGGCCAUAUAUGUU